CGCGUAGGUGGUUUGUUAAGUUGAAUGUGAAAUCCCCGGGCUCAACCUGGGAACUGCAUCCAAAACUAGGCAAGCUAGAGUAUGGUAGAGGGUAGUGGAAUUUCCUGUGUAGCGGUGAAAUGCGUAGAUAUAGGAAGGAACACCAGUGGCGAAGGCGACUACCUGGACUGAUACUGACACUGAGGUGCGAAAGCGUGGGGAGCAAACAGGAUUAGAUAUCCUGGUAGUCCACGCCGUAAACGAUGUCAACUAGCCGUUGGGAGUCUUGAACUCUUAGUGGCGCAGCUAACGCAUUAAGUUGACCGCCUGGGGAGUACGGCCGCAAGGUUAAA
rnacentral:rRNA from 1 species